CCUACGGGGGGCAGCAGUGGGGAAUAUUGCACAAUGGGGGAAACCCUGAUGCAGCGACGCCGCGUGCGUGAAGAAGUACCUCGUCACGUAAAGCUCUAUCAGCAGGGAAGAAAAUGACGGUACCUGAAUAACAAGCCCCGGCUAACGACGUGCCAGCAGCCGCGGUAAUACGGAGGGGGCCAGCGUUAUCCGGAUUUACUGGGUGUAAAGGUAGCGUAAACUGCAGUGCAAGUCUGGAGUGAGAGGCGGGGGCUCAACCCCGGGACUGCUCUUGGAACUGGCAGGCUGGAGUGCAGGAGAGGUAAGUGGAAUUCCUGGUGUAGCGGUGAAAUGCGUAGAUAUUAGGAGGAACACCAGUGGCGAAGGCGGCUUACUGGACUGUAACUGACGUUGAGGCUCGAAAGCGUGGGGAGCAAACAGGAUUAGAUACCCCAGUAGUC
rnacentral:rRNA from 1 species